ACCNGGGUGACUGAACCUAUACACUCAGGU
rnacentral:piRNA from 1 species